GAUGGGAGUGGGAUGAUCCUCAGGCCCCUGGCAGAGAGUUCAGUUUCUGAGGUCAUCAGAGAAGAUUUGCCAGAGGCUUUCGCUUACCCAAGGGAAGUAAUGUUAAAGGGUCAUGUGUUUUUCUGAAGCAAAGUAUCGCUUUUACAGAGAAAUGGCUGCUACCUAGGGCCAGUGCCUUCACAGUUUGGUUAUGCUAAGUAGAAGAUACAGAUUUGUAAUGCCUAAAUUCUCACACUUCUAAUCCUACAGUCCAAUUAUUCUGGCAUUUGCUACAAUGUGCUCUGAAGAAAUGGAUUGGAAAUAAACAAAUAAAUAAAUAAAUAAAUAAUUCCACAGGAGGAAAAAAAUGCGUUCUGAAAGGAUCAGGAUUUUCA
rnacentral:lncRNA from 1 species